rnacentral:tRNA from 1 species
GGCCCGUUAGCUCAAUAGGUAGAGCAGCGGACUCUUAAUCCGCGGGUUGAAGGUUCGAGUCCUUCACGGGUCA